rnacentral:tRNA from 1 species
CAUCGCCAUGGGCAGUCAGGCCGGGGAUCUCUAUAUGAUCCCUUACGGGUUCUAUCUUCGGGCGAUGU